UACGUAGGGGGCAAGCGUUGUUCGGAAUUACUGGGCGUAGAGGGCGCGUAGGCGGCACGGCAAGUCGGGAGUGAAAGGCCUGGGCUCAACCGAGGAACUGCUUUCGAGACUGCCGAGCUAGAGUGCGGAAGGGGCAACUGGAAUUCCCAGUGUAGCGGUGAAAUGCGUAGAUAUUGGGAAGAACACCUGAGGCGAAGGCGGGUUGCUGGGCCGACACUGACGCUGAGGCGCGAAAGCCAGGGGAGCAAACGGG
rnacentral:rRNA from 1 species